rnacentral:rRNA from 1 species
AGUGAACGCUGGCGGCGUGCUUAACACAUGCAAGUCGAACGAGAACGGGCUAUAGCUUGCUAUAGUUGUCAGCUAAGUGGCGCACGGGUGAGUAAUGUAUAGGUAAUAUGCCUCUUACUAAGGGAUAACAAAUGGAAACGUUUGCUAAUACCUUAUACUCCUUAUUAACAGAAGUCAAUAAGGGAAAGAUUUAUCGGUAAGAGAUUAGCCUGUAUUGUAUCAGUUAGUUGGUGGGGUAAUGGCUUACCAAGACUAUGACACAUAACUGGUUUGAGAGGAUGAUCAGUCACACUGGAACUGAGACACGGUCCAGACUCCUACGGGAGGCAGCAGUGGGGAAUAUUGCACAAUGGACGAAAGUCUGAUGCAGCAACGCCGCGUGGAGGAUGACACAUUUCGGUGCGUAAACUCCUUUUAUAUGAGAAGAUAAUGACGGUAUUAUAUGAAUAAGCACCGGCUAACUCCGUGCCAGCCGCCGCGGUAA